CCCGGGGAGUCCUGCCGGAGUGAGGCAGGCCUUAGGAAGAAGCUGCCUGAUAUGCAGGGUUGCAUAGGCAGUCAGAGAGUGCAUCCUGGAGGAGCCCUGGCAUCAGGAAGGAAGAGGUCUCCCUAUGUCAUCCAGGCUGGUCAUGAACUCCUGGAGCUCAAGCAAUUCUCCAGUCUCAGCCUCCUGAAGUGCUGGGAUUAUAGGCAUGAGCAACCACGCGAGUCCCCUAGCUCUUAUUUUAAGUGGCUGUGUAAUGUGGAUGAUGACAGCACCUACCUCAAGCGGCUGCUGUGAGGACUAAAUGGGGAUCACAGGUGCCCUCUCCCCCAACAGCCAGAAAGGGAAAACAGAGCCGAAUUUGGCCACUGGGGCCUCCCCAGCCCUCUGGAAGAAGGGGCUGACUGAUAGGAAGGCACUCCUCUGGUGUUCACUGGCCAGACCCCUGUGGGCUCAGAAGACUACCUAGACCCCAUGAAGAAACACUCUGGACACAUUUUUAUAAUCAGAAACUUACAGUUUAUUGUGAAUAAACCACUCAACUUUGAGCAGA